ACUCGGAGAUAGCUGGUUCUCCUCGAAAUAGCUUUAGGGCUAGCCUUGAGGUAAAGUCUAAUGGAGGUAAAGCACUGAUUGGACGCGGGUCCCCAAAAGGAUACCAACUUCUAUCAAACUCAGAAUGCCAUAUAGAUAUACUCAGGAGUCAGACUAUGUGAGAUAAGUUUCAUAGUCAAAAGGGAAAGAGCCCAGACCGACAGCUAAGGUCCCAAAGUGUGUGUUAAGUGGAAAAGGAUGUUAGGUUUCUAAGACAACUAGGAUGUUGGCUCAGAAGCAGCCACUCAUUUAAAGAGUGCGUAACAGCUCACUAGUCGAGAGGUCUAGCGCCGAAAAUGUCCGGGGCUAAAACACACCACCGAAGCUACGGAAUUACCUAUGGUAAUUGGUAGAGGAGCAUUCUGUAAGGAUGAAGCACAAUUGAAAGAGAGUGUGGACGAAACAGAAGAGAGAAUGCCGGAAUGAGUAGCGAGAUAUAUGUGAGAAUCAUAUAGGUCGAAUGUCUAAGGUUUCCUGGGUAAAGCUGAUCUGCUCAGGGUAAGUCGGGACCUAAGGUGAGGGCGAGAGCCGUAAUCGAUGGACAACAGGUAGAAAUUCCUGUACUACGUAUAAUCAGAACUGUGGGGACGCAGGAGGAUAGGAAAACCGGAGAAUGGAAAAAUCCGGCUAAGUACAAAGGUGUGAGUGAUAGGCAAAUCCGUCACUAUUAGCUGAAGUACGAAUGGGAGCGAAGAAAAGUAGCGAAGUUUCUGAAUCCACACUGUCAAGAAAAGCCGCUAUUGCGUUAUACGUACCCGUACCGCAAACCGACACAGGUAGACGAGGAGAAAAUCCACAGACCGACGGGAGAAGUGUUGUUAAGGAACUCGGCAAAAUGACCCCGUAACUUAGGGAUAAGGGGAGCCAACGCAAGUUGGUCACAGAAAAGAGGCUCAAGCGACUGUUUAGCAAAAACAUAGGUCUAUGCGAAACCGUAAGGUGAUGUAUAUGGGCUGACACCUGCCCGGUGCUGGAAGGUCAAAAGGAGAGGUUAGCGCAAGCGAAGCCUUGAAUUCAAGCCCCAGUAAACGGCGGCCGUAACUAUAACGGUCCUAAGGUAGCGAAAUUCCUUGUCAGGUAAGUUCUGACCCGCACGAAAGGUGUAACGAUUUGAGCACUGUCUCGACAACACGCCCGGUGAAAUUGAAGAACCAGUGAAGAUACUGGUUACCCGCAACAGGACGGAAAGACCCCAUGGAGCUUUACUGCAGCUUAAUAUUGGGAUUCGGUAUUGUAUGUACAGGAUAGGAGGGAGACUAAGAAGCUAGCACGCCAGUGUUGGUGGAGUCGAUGGUGGGAUACCUCUCUUAUAAUACUGAAUUUCUAACCUACUUCCGUGAUCCGGAAGAGGGACAUUGUUAGGCGGGCAGUUUGACUGGGGCGGUCGCCUCCGAAAGAGUAACGGAGGCGCUCAAAGGUCUUCUCAGAAUGAUUGGAAACCAUUCAAAGAGUGUAAAGGCAAAAGAAGGCUUGACUGCGAGAGUGACAACUCGAGCAGGUACGAAAGUAGGACUUAGUGAUCCGGUGGUAACAAGUGGGAGUGCCAUCGCUUAACGGAUAAAAGCUACCCUGGGGAUAACAGGCUUAUCUCCCCCAAGAGUUCACAUCGACGGGGAGGUUUGGCACCUCGAUGUCGGCUCAUCGCAUCCUGGGGCUGUAGUAGGUCCCAAGGGUUGGGCUGUUCGCCCAUUAAAGCGGUACGCGAGCUGGGUUCAGAACGUCGUGAGACAGUUCGGUCCCUAUCCGUUGUGGGCGUAGGAAAUUUGAUAGGAGCUGUCCUUAGUACGAGAGGACCGGGAUGGACGAACCUCUGGUGAAUCUGUUGGUAACCAAUGCCACAGCAGAAUAGCCAAGUUUGGAACGGAUAAACGCUGAAGGCAUCUAAGCGUGAAGCCAACCUAAAGACUAGAUUUCCCAUGCGAAAGCAGUAAGACUCCUUGU
rnacentral:rRNA from 1 species